UUUAACUGAAGAGUUUGAUCAUGGCUCAGAUUGAACGCUGGCGGCAGGCUUAACACAUGCAAGUCGAGCGGGGAAGGUUGCUUCGGUAACUGACC
rnacentral:rRNA from 1 species